UUACUAAUUAUGAAAAAUUCUUUUUCUUUUUGUUCAUUAUUAUUAAUUUAAAUUCAUUCUUUUUUUAUUAAUAUUCUUUUACCUUUAAUGUAACAAUCAUCUCUUUUUACUCUUGUUGUGUCAACAUUAAUCCAACAUCAUUCGUCUAAUCACCAUCAAGAGUUAUUGUGCAAUUGAUUUACUCGACUAUCAUCAUCAUCAUUACCAUUAACAUCAGUUUUUUAUGGACUUUGGUGGGAAGAUGUCUUGAUGUGGGUGUUGGUUUUAUCUACAUGAUAACAUAUCCUCCAGGUAACAAGGCCAAGGACUUUAUCCCAAUCUCUAUGUUACAUAUUAUUCAUCGGUUUUUGUUUUUCUUUCUCAGCUUAUCCAAUGCAGUAACAUUGGAUCUUCAAGAUUUUCAAAUCAUCCUUCAGAUAACUAAUAGUUAUUAACUCUUACUCUCUCAUACUCUCUCUCUCUAAAGAUGAAGAAAAACUAGUUGGCAACGAAAGUGAGAAAGAAGAAAAACUCACCCUGUAAUUUUACAUCAUCUUUUUGUUUCUCUGAUGCCAAAGUAUUUUUCCUUGUUAUCGUUAUUUCUGAGUUUCCUUUUCUCAAUCCUUGAAUCAAAAUUACUAUUUAAACGAGUCAACCUUUUCUUUAUUCAGGAUUCAUUUUAAAUUUUUACAGGUUUACCUCUCAAUGAACUAACAUGCUAACUUGAUUUAACCAGUGGAAAAUAUUCAUCAUGCCAAUGUUUACUCAGAAAAGAAAGAGACAAAAUGGUUGAUUCAUCUUCUUCAAUCCCUGUUAAGAAUUUUAAUAGACGAUGACAAUGAAAAUCAAGACACAUAGAAAGGGAAAAGAGGUAACGACAUGGAAGAAGGUGAAAGUAGAAAAAAGAGAAAAGGUAAAAACAACAGAAUUUAGCCUUAUCAAGGUGCUUCAGGAAGAUUGAUUAUUCUGUUUAUUGUUACACUUAAAUCAACCUUUUUUUUCUGUUACCCUGUUUAUCGGUGUUGUAUCAACUGCUGAUUACAUGGAGGAAAUCAACUAAUUUCUAUGAAAAGAAGACAACAAACUAGCUCAAAUUGAAAGAAGAAGGUUUUCUCUAUUUCGAACAAAUUGACACAACCAUCUUUCACCUUUUCUACGGAUAUGAAUGGAAAUUCUCAUCACUUAUAAAGUUACUGAUCAAAUCAAAUCAAAGAUGAUGAUCAUCUCUCCAGUUAUUACACUGAACAGGUUGUUGUCUUUUUCAACUCACCUUCUCACCUCUCACACCACCACUAUUAUCUAUAACAUGAAUUCAUGAUAUCUCUCGAGAUAUUCAUAUAUCAUCUUCAAUCUUGUAAUAUCAAAAUCUACAUAAAUUACCUUUAAUCUCUGGUGAAAUGAACAUGGAACCAAAGAAUCGAGUUAAAUAAUGAUUUGGACAUUUGGAAAGAGAAUAAAAAAAAUGAGAAACUUGAUUCUUGAAAAGGUAAAGUGAAUGUGGUGGUAGUUGUGGUGGUGAUAAUGGUGGUGUUACAUUAUAAUGAUCAGACAAUAAUAGUAAUAACAACAGGGUUAUAUUCUUGAUUGUAAAGAUUUUGUUGGAAAAGUUUUUUCUUUCUUUCUGAUGAUCAAAUAAUAGUAAUGAUGAUGAUGAUAAAAUGGCGAGAAAACAACAUGCUGAGAUAUCAUGUAAGAUUAUGGAAGAUGAGACAAGUAAAUGAAUUUUAUUACAACAGCAAAAAGAAAUUCAAAGCAAAAGAAUGUUUAUCUUCAUCAUCAUCGCAUUUGAAUCUUAAACAUUGAGAACUCUCAUAUCUCAUCAGCAUUAAGAUCAUUUUCUGGUUUUGUAUCUGUCAUACAAUUGAAUCUUUUCAUCGGCGUUUUCAAAUUUUAUCUAUUCAAUUCAUCUUGGUACACGACGAUGCGGUGUUUUUGCUUAAUCAUUUCUUGUCUUUCCACCAUCUUAUUUAACUCCAUGAUAGUACGAUUAACAUGAUGAUCAUCAACAUUUUGGUCCUGAUAUCAGAAUCACAAAUCACAUACACAAAAAUACAUUCACCAGCAAAUCAAGAUAUACAAAUUUGAUGAGAAAGGAGACAAAAGAAAAAGGAACCUUAUGGAUUUGCAAAUGAUCUGAUUAUCUUUCCGAAGUAAAAAAAAAAGUUUCCAAGAGAUUCCAGGGCGUUCAGGAACACGCUUUUUGGGUUGGGCUUUUGAUUGCCACAAUUUUCAAUGUGUCCACUAGAUGAUGAUGAUAAAACUGAUGAAUCUCUCAUCAAGAUGAUAAAAAAAAAGUUCUAAAUGAGAAAGUGAGAUGAAUCGUUGUGAAUAAAACCGUGACCACAGGGCGAGUCACGAUCAUUUGCUGUGAUGGGUCAACUCUAAGAGGAAACAACAAGCUCGUGCAAAGGAAAGUGAAAAAAAGGUCAAUUAUGACAACCUUUUUCCAUAUAUAUGUAUUCAUCAUAUCGGAUGAAAUAUAAGAUGGAUGCAGGAAUAUCCAUGAAAUAACAUUGCCUUGAUUGAAUCGCAAGCCAAGCAAAGGAAAUAGCGAGAUGAUGUCGAUCUCAUUUAUGAUGAAAAGAUGAACAUAAUGGUGUUGAUGAUGAUAAGGAGAAAGUUAAAUGAUGACGAGAAAUUAUUUCUCUCUGUAAGCAUCACGAAUAUCAGAUUGAAUUUGAUAAAAAGAAAACAAUAUCAAAGGAAAGGGAGUGGAGUCUCAAUUUAGAAAGUGAAAUUAUUAAUAUAACGAGGAUCCAUUUAAACGAGGAAAACAAGAGAAAAAAAUUAACUAAUAGCUUAUUAAAUCUUCUCAGUGUUUAAUUUAAUUCUCAUCAUCAUCAACUGAUAAUUUACCUUUACCUGGAUCAAAUUAACUAACAAAUAUUUACCUUUGCAAAUAUCAACAAACUAAUAUUAAUGAUAACAAUUAUCUAUUGAAUCAUUUGGUUUUCAAUAACAAUUUAACCAUUAAUAUUGUCAACAGUUAAUCAAAAGUAUGAUCAUCACCAACUAAUUAAUUUGUUACCACCAAAUCAAAUUAAUAAGAUAAUGAAACUUUUCUGUCAUUGGAUUUAAUUAAUUAGUCCAUUUUUCAUAUUAAAUUAGAUCCUCUCUCCCUCCUCAUCAUCAACAUCUUAUACUUGGGAUGAAAAAAAAAAGUUGAUUACAUUUAAUUUUCCACAGUUAAUUUAAUCAACAUUAAAUCAUCAAUUGCAAGUAACGUCUUGCCAAAGGAAUCGCUUGGGUUAAUUGUGAUCAUUUUAAUAUUAAGUUAUCCUUAAAUUAAACCUUUUUUUCAUACUUGAUUAAUGUAAACAUUGGUUAACCUUAAUCAUAUCCGCAUCAUCCAAGGGUAAUUACAGUUAACUGUUAACUAAUUACGAGCAAAUUGUUAAAGACAAGGAGAUGAAAAAAAUUCCGCAUCCUAAUAACACUUAAAGUUAAUGUAUAAAAUUUGAUGAAUGAUUUAAUUUCUCAGUGUAACAAUAUAACAGCUUCUUAUGAUUAAAGUAAAUUGUAAGAUUAAUGAUUGUUGAACAAUUUAUUCAACUGCAAACUAAAUCAGUUGAGUGAUUAAAUUACAAAGAACGAGGAGAAUAUAAUAUAAAAGUGAUUAAUUUGAUUCCUUUCGAUGAUUUGAUUAUUUUGUUUUCCAUAUUCUCGAGCAAUUUAUUAAUUCCAAUGAUUAACAAUCCAUGUAAUCAACAUUUUCAAGUCUCUAAUCAACAGAAAACAAAAAUGAUGAUUAACUGUAACUAUUAAAUUAGAGAGACAAUUGAUUAACAUGAUUCGUACGUGAUUAGAUUAAAAUCUUAAUUGAAACAAUUUGAUGGAUUCACUUUUUUUGUUUUGUUUACUGAUCCAUUUAUUGUAUAGUAAGUUAAUCAUCACAAUCAAUGAAGAUGAUUAAUAUAAUUGUUGGGUUAAUUUGGUUUUGUGAUGAUGUUGAUUGUCCGAUCAGUUGAUUGCAGAUUGAUUAAUCAUUUAUAAUUAGUUAAAUGAUGAAUACUCCUUUUGGUUGUUUGUUUAUUUAAAUGGUUGGUUAAUCAUAGAUGUUAAUUGUUACCUCUUGAUUGUAGAUCAAUUUGAUUAACACUUUUAAUUGUAUUAAUGAUUAGAUGAU